rnacentral:rRNA from 1 species
GAUGAACGCUGGCGGCGUGCCUAAUACAUGCAAGUCGAGCGAACGGACGAGAAGCUUGCUUUUCUGAUGUUAGCGGCGGACGGGUGAGUAACACGUGGAUAACCUACCUAUAAGACUGGGAUAACUUCGGGAAACCGGAGCUAAUACCGGAUAAUAUUUUGAACCGCAUGGUUCAAAAGUGAAAGACGGUCUUGCUGUCACUUAUAGAUGGAUCCGCGCUGCAUUAGCUAGUUGGUAAGGUAACGGCUUACCAAGGCAACGAUGCAUAGCCGACCUGAGAGGGUGACCGGCCACACGGAAACGGAACACCGUCCCAGACCCCUACGGGAGCAGCAGUAGGGAAUCUUCCGCAAUGGGCGAAAGCCUGACGGAGCAACGCCGCGUGAGUGAUGAAGGUCUUCGGAUCGUAAAACUCUGUUAUUAGGGAAGAACAUAUGUGUAAGUAACUGUGCACAUCUUGACGGUACCUAAUCAGAAAGCCACGGCUAACUACGUG